GGAAAGAAUUGAACGAAAGCAAAAGAAACAGCAUUCCUUUCUUGAAAAUGAGGUACUUCCUCCAUGGAGCCCUCCAAGCAAAACUGUAUUCUCAAAAGUGUUUUGAUAAUUCUUAUUCUUCCAUUAUUUUGUUCUUUAUCAGUUCAUCAAUUUUAGCCAAACUAAGUUUAAAACUAUUCAUUCAAUUAUUUAUAGUUAGAAGAGUCUGUUUUAAUUAAAUGCCAAUCACAUCUGCUGACAGUGAAAAUGGUGCUUUGGCAUUUAAUCAGUGAAAGCACUGAAAGCAUUUUUUGCACUGUAGAUAAACUGCCUCAAAUGAAGUGUUAAUAAUCAGAUUGAAAUACAUAGUCCUUUAUCAUGUGCUGAUAAUUCUUGUAGUCUGAUGAUCCAUCAUCACUUUCAUUAACCUAUGCAUGUUAUUUAAAUAUAUGUUUAUUCCCCAAUAUGAAAAAGAAAUCAUGUAGGUACUGAUAAAAAUGAUUGAAUUUGUGAAUGAUUAUGCAUCUAGAUUCAGGUUUUUAAAUGAAUGCUCACUGGGGAGUAUGCAUAUGUCAUUUCUUCUAAAACUAAUUUUUAGUUCAAAGCAGUUGCAUUAGCUCUGUGCAGGUUAAGAAUUUUGGUUAGUUGAGGCAGCAUUCAGUAGAACUCCAAUUGUCAAGGCUUUUUUUUUUUUUUUUUUAAGAAUGUUGCCUUACUGUACUGUAGCUGCCAGCCUAUACCACAGCCACAGCAAUGCCAGAUCUGAGCUGUGUCUGCAACCUAAACCACAGCUCACGGCAGCACCAGAUUGUUAACCCACGAGCAAGGCCAGGGAUCGAACUCAAGUCCUCAUGGAUACUAGUUGGAUUUGUUACCACUGAGCCACGAUGGGAACUCCUCACUUCUGUAUUUCAUUGCUAUUAGAAGAGAUCUGUUUUGUGGUAGUGAUAUACAGUUAUGGAAAUUCCACAAGGACCUAAGGUUAUUAUCACUGUUAUUUUCCAGACUAAAGCCAUAAAGAUGAUAAGGGCAAUUUUUGUCCUCUUAAAUCCAGUGUCUUCUAGCUUACAUUUGAAGACAGCUAUAUGGGAGAAUAAUUUAUAGACUAUGUCCAAAUAAUUUAUUUUUUUUGAGCUGUGUAUAUCUUCAUUAACUGGAUUCAUACUUGACCUGGUCAGCUGGUUUAUCAUAGACCAAAUGUAUGCUCUCAGAGUUGAAAUACUGCUUAAACCAGUAAUGCAGUGCAAUGAUGGAUGAGAAUAAACUGUUACUGUUUAUUAAGCACCUGCUAUAUCUCUCUGCUGAAUCUUUACAAUUUUUUUUUAAUCUUUACAACUACUAUGCAGAAUAAGUGUUAUUAGGCUAUUUAGCAGAUAAAAAUACUCAGAAUACUAGAAAUACUUAGAAAGAUUAAAGAACUUGCCAUACACUUAGCAUGUGACUGAGCUGGGAUUAGAGUUGAUGAAGCCCCUCUACCUCUAGAAUCCAGUUGCUCAUGUUCCUGCUCUCAUGUGGCCUCAGAGAAUUGUGUUCUGUCAAGACUUGUUACUUGAUUAACCUUAUACAUUUACCUUUCAGAUCCUAAAAUCAUGUAUUGUUAUCCAGAGAUUAUCUUUACGAAAUAGCUGUCUGUCAUUAGAGACAGUGAACCUUACUAGAUCUUCAAAGUGAAAAAAAAAAAAUCAAAAUAUGUAAGGAGUUAGUUAAAUGCCUGUAUCUAGUAUUAGAAGAUCAGAAUGCUCAACAGUUGUGGAACUUGGGCUUUAAGACAGUCAGUCAGGAGGUUUCACACUCAGGACUAGCCUUCUUGUUGCAGUGAUAAGAAAGAUAUGGGAGUUCUCUUGUGCAGUGGGUUAAGAAUCUGGCAUUAUCAGUGCCACAGCUUGGGUUGCUGCUGUGGCAUGGUUUGAUCCCUGACCCAGGAACUUCCACAUGCUGUGGGUGGGGCCAAAUAAAAAAUGGAAAAAAGAAACAAAAAAUCGCCAGAAAGAUGUUAUGGCUCAUUUUUUAAGAUCACAUCAGUGCUACAGCUAAGUUUUUUUUUUAAUUUCAUAAAUAAAACUAGAAGCCUUUUUAUGCUGUUUGAACUAGAGAAUCCAUCAUGAAACUGAAAUGAUUACCAGCAGUAUGUGUUAUCAGCUUGGGAUUGGGGCAUCUCAUUCAUCCUUGUGUCCCUCCAUGGUAUCAAACACGAGGCCUGGCAGGAAAGAUUGUUGAGUAUUUAUUGUAUCAGAUUAGCUAUUUAGAGCUUAAAAGAUCUUUGGAAAUUCCAGGGAAGUAAAAGAAAAAACAGAAGAAAGUACAGCUACUUUUAUAGUCAUGAGAUUUUAAGUGUGUAUGUCACAGAGUUCACAUUAAAUAUUUAUGUAAACAUCCUGAUCAUUUUCUUCUAAUUUAUCAUGUUCAGUGGCUUAACUAUUAUCACAUUUUAGUUGUGAGAAUUGAAUGACAUUAGUUAAUUAAUGUAUGGCACAUAAUAGAGGGCUUAAUGUUCAUUAUUUGAAUUUCUUUCCUAUCUUGAGCCCUGUAUUUUCCCACCUCAUAUUUGUGAGAUUAGCAUGGACUAGGCUGAUAAUGGUAAUUUGACAUUGCAUGUAUCUGGCAUACAAGAAGAAAUCUCUGCUCUCCUAGCCAAUCUAGGCUGAAGCACUCAAUAGAGAGGUGACCUAUACUUGAGACCUUCUGAAAAGAAAUCUAAAUACUAAUCCCUUACUGUUGCUUGUGAGGUAGAUGAAAAGGGAAAUUGAGGUGUUUGCAAAGGCCUUACAGGGCAUUUCCUGCAAAUAGGGAUUUUUGCCUUACUAUGAUAAAUAAUAUAUUGUUUCCUGUUUACAGCAAGCUGUGCUGAUUCAAUUGUCUAGUUGAAUGAAAUCACCUUAUCUUCUGUGGUAGAAAUAAAGCUGAGUUCUGGUUGCUGUGUGAAAAUACAGUGCUUUUACUUUCUGACACCUACAAGGCCUGCUAAUGUUUUCCCAAAUAUAUUUAUCAUAAGGAGUGUGAUUUCCCUGUAUUUCCAUAGAAAUUAUCAAAUAUCAAUGUCAUUAAAUUUAAGUUCUCAUUGUAAUAUUCUCAUUAUAAUAUAAGGGAAUGUUAAUUCAAAUUAAAGACAUAAUUUAAAGACUUUCAUAUUAAACUUGUUUUUUAAACUAUAUUGAUCGCUUGAAGAAAGCUGAUACAUCAGAGAAAAUAGGAAUUUAAUGAAUAUUUUUAAACAUUACUGAAAACAAUUUCCCUAGAAAUUUAAAUAGUAAUACUACAAAAUGAAAUUUUAUUGAGAACCAAAGUUCAUAGUAACCAAGAAAAUAGUAGUAUUACAUAAAUAAAAAGAAACAAUAUGGCAUGUUAGAUGAGCAGGAGGGUAAAUUUUUCUUAAUGUAGGAACACAACAGCUGUUCAGAGAUAACAGUAUUUCAGUGGUUUGUACUGCACCACAUUUGGGAAAUGUUAGUACAUUUGUUUUAAAUAGUUUUGGAACCGAUGUUCUUCACUUGGCCAAAGCAGUACCUGAUAGUAGCUGGUACUAGUCCACAGCUGUAUGUACCUUAGAGUGAGGUAACUAUGCAUUUUAAUGAGAUUUAAAUAAUAAACUUGGCCCAUACUCUUACUUCUAAGCUGAAGAAACUGAUUUCCAAAGCCUUUGACUUGCCCAGACUCACACAAAUGACCAUAAGAAAUCUUGAGCCCCAACUCAGGUUUCUUGUUUCCCAGCUGUAGACUAUCUACCAUUCCACAGUUGAUAAUAUGAUAGAAGUUUCACACCACCUCUUUCUUGUAAUGUGGUCGUUAGUAUUGUUAUUGAUUUUUAUCCUCUCAAAUGUGCCCUUGAACUUCCACAGCCUUCUCCAUGACCAUCCAUCAGAUCAGAGCUGUUUGCACACUUAGACUGUCACUGAAAAUGUGGGGAAGUACUCACGUUUCUUAAAUCCUGAGUCACUGACUAAGAUAGAGUAAAGGAAUUUUACAAAAUAGGAGAAUUUGCUUGUCAGAAUAGUUUCCAAGAAUAAACUAAUACAGAAAACACAUUUUCCUGAUUUAAUUUUGGCUCUGUUUUCAAUAGUCCUGUAUUAAAAAAUAUUUAAAUCCAUAUACCUCCAUUUUGCACAAAGCAAAGAUAUUAUCAGUUAUUCUGAUUCCUGGGUACAUUGGCUGACAAUAAUAAAGGUUAGGUAACAUUUAACUGGUGACUUCUCUGAAUUCUUUUUACCUUAAAAUUUCAUGGAGUUCCUGUCAUGGCACAGCAGAAAUGAAUCCGACUAGGAACCAUGAGGUUGCUGGUUCGAUCCCUGGCUUCAGUGGGUUAAGGAUCUGGCAUUGCCAUGAGCUGUGGUGUAGGACGCAGAUGCAGCUCGGAUCUGGCAUUGCUGUGGCUCUGGCGUAGGCCGGCAGCAACAGCUCCGAUUAGACCCCUACCUGGGAACCUCCAUAUGCCGUGGGUGCAGACCUAAAAAGACGAAAAACAUUCAUGUGAUUUUGAAAUAUGUAUGUUAUAUAUAGUUGUAUAAUGGUAAUUUGAGUACACUAAAUUCUUCGUUUUGAAUUUAGGAUGUUUUAUAAUUAUUAGAAUUAUUUAAGAGGAUGUAUUUAACAUCUGCUUUUUAGUAGCAUAUUUUCAUGUAAAGUUUAAUUAAAGUGAACCAUUAAAGAUUUAUUAUAUUGG
rnacentral:lncRNA from 1 species